ACCCAGAGUUAUAUGACCUGUCUUCGUCGUACUACUUUGACUCCAACAGAAGGAACAAUGCCUGGAGAAUUAUCAGCUCGGAGCUUGGGAUAACUGGCUUGACGUUUGGGCUGUACAUGUCUGUGUUGAGGAGGAUGAUGGCAAAGGCCAGGAUGAAGAUGGUGUCGGGGUUCCUGAACUGUCGCACCACACCAGGGUUACAGAUGCAAUAACGUUGGCUGCAAAGAGGAUAUUGGACACAAACUUAUCAGUCUGGGGAUCAUGUUGACCAGGAGAGUCCGACAACAAUACAGCCAAAAAUCACCGGUGCCUGGACAGCGUGACGUGUGUGGUUGUGCUGCUGCCGUGGUCCUGCCAGAUGCCUCCUGCUGCUGCUGCUGCCAUCAUUAGUCAUUAGUCAUACUUCUACUGUUAUUAUACACAUAUGACUAUUGUCACACAUGUAUACUGCCAGAUAUUAAUACAUACUUUCAACAUAUUGUACCACAGUAGCCAGAACUAUAACUUAGUUAUAUCUUAUCCGCUGCGAGGGUCAUAAGGACAGAAGGAUGUCGUAUGCUGUAAAGCCCUGUGAGGCAAAUUGUGAUUUGUGAUAUUGGGCUUUAUAAAUAAAAUUGAUUGAUUGAUUGACUUCCCUUCACUGAUCAGAGUCCUAUGAUCUCUACGCUGUGGCCACAGCGGGUUUCCAUGGCAACGCCUGUGAACUACAGAGAUUAAAUAGUCCGCUCAGCUGUGGCUUGUGAAAAACUCAUGAUUUUAACUGUAAAACACAUUAAAGCAU